rnacentral:rRNA from 1 species
AUUAGUAAUGGGCGAAAGCCUGAACUAGCAACGCCGCGUGUGCGAAGAAGGCCUUCGGGUUGUAAAGCACUUUUUGAGAGGAGGAGGAAGGACGGUACUCUCAGAAUAAGUCUCGGCUAACUACGUGCCAGCAGCCGCGGUAACACGUAGGAGGCGAACGUGAUCCGGAUUUACUGGGCGUAAAGCGCGUGUAGGUGGUUUGGUAAGUAGGGCGUGAAAGCUCCUGGCUCAACUGGGAGAGGCCGUUCUAAACUGCCGAACUAGAGGAUGGUAGAGGGAGGUGGAAUUCCGGGUGUAGCGGUGGAAUGCGCAGAUAUCCGGAGGAACACCAGUGGCGAAAGCGGCCUCCUGGACCACUCCUGACACUCAGACGCGAAAGCUAGGGUAGCAAACGG